GACGAACGCUGGCGGCGUGCUCUACACAUGCAAGUCGAACGGUGAAGGUGGAGCUUGCUCCGCCGGAUCAGUGGCGAACGGGUGAGUAACACGUGGGCAACCUGCCCCUAACUUUGGGAUAACUACUCGAAAGAGUAGCUAAUACCGGAUAUGAAGUCUGUAGGCAUCUACGGAUUUGGAAAGUUUUUCGGUUAGGGAUGGGCCCGCGGCCUAUCAGCUUGUUGGUGGGGUAGUGGCUCACCAAGGCGACGACGGGUAGCCGGCCUGAGAGGGCGACCGGCCACACUGGGACUGAGACACGGCCCAGACUCCUACGGGAGGCAGCAGUGGGGAAUAUUGCGCAAUGGGCGAAAGCCUGACGCAGCAACGCCGCGUGCGGGAUGAAGGCCUUCGGGUUGUAAACCGCUUUCAGCAGGGAAGAAGCGAAAGUGACGGUACCUGCAGAAGAAGCACCGGCUAACUACGUGCCAGCCGCCGCCGUAA
rnacentral:rRNA from 1 species